rnacentral:rRNA from 1 species
ACUCCUACGGGAGGCAGCAGUGGGAUAUAUUGGCCAAUGGGGGCACCCUGAUCCAGCCAUGCCGCGUGAGUGAUGAAGGCCCUAGGGUUGUAAAGCUCUUUUGUGCGGGAAGAUAAUGACGGUACCGCAAGAAUAAGCCCCGGCUAACUUUGUGCCAGCAGCCGCGGUAAU